UAUCAUGGCUCAAGAUGAACGCUAGCUACAGGCUUAACACAUGCAAGUCGAGGGGCAGCAUGAAAGUUUGCUUGCAAACUUUUGAUGGCGACCGGCGCACGGGUGAGUAACACGUAUCCAACCUGCCUCAUACUCGGGGAUAGCCUUUCGAAAGAAAGAUUAAUACCCGAUGUCAUAGUCCUACCGCAUGAUGGGAUUAUUAAAGA
rnacentral:rRNA from 1 species